rnacentral:rRNA from 1 species
GACGAACGCUGGCGGCGCGCUUAACACAUGCAAGUCGAACGGAAAGGCCUGCUUUCCCUUGUGGAUUGCGGGUACUCGAGUGGCGAACGGGUGAGUAGCACGUGAGUGAUCUGCCCCCAACUUGGGUAUAAGCCUGGGAAACUGGGUCUAAUUCCCGAUAGGACUGCAGGGUGGUGCCUGUGGUGGAAAACGAUUUUCUAGUGGUUGGGGAUGAGCUCGCGGCCUAUCAGCUUGUUGGUGGGGUAAUGGCCUACCAAGGCGGCGACGGGUAGCCGGCCUGAGAGGGUGGACGGCCACAUUGGGACUGGGAUACGGCCCAGACUCCUACGGGAGGCAGCAGUGGGGAAUAUUGCACAAUGGGCGGAAGCCUGAUGCAGCGACGCCGCGUGGUGGAUGACGGCCUUCGGGUUGUAAACUCCUUUCGACCGCGAGGAAGCCACCUGGUUGGAAGGGUGGUGACGGUAGUGGUAGAAGAAGCACCGGCUAACUACGU